AAAACUUUUCUUGGAAUUGAAAAAAAUCAAUAUUGACUGAUUAAAAUAUAUAAGUAAAAAAAUCGAUAUGCCGUUUAGUUUGAGUGUAGCUUUUAUAUCAGGCUAACCAGAAGUUAUACGUUGCAGGUUAGGAUUGAGUGACUCUUGAAUUCUUCAGUAUGAAGUGGUAUACGUCCCUGGCGAUAUGUGUCGCCAUCUGUGCGGCCUAUUACAUGUACCAGUAUCAAGGGAAGUCAACCUACCUUUUAGCCAGACAGCUACUACAGACAAGCUUGGGUUGUAACUACCCCAGAUGUCUGAAAGACUUUGAUCAGAUGGAGUUUAACAUCAAUGUGAACAACGAGGAACAGGUUUGUCUAGUGUUUGUUUACCGAAAAUGAAUGCUGGAAUAUUUUCAAGAACGAAUUUGCUAACAGCCCUCUUUCAAUAUGCGGGUAAAGUUUAACUUUUGGAAUAUCUAUAGUGGUUAAUGGAAAAUGGAUUUAGUUUAUAGUAAAAUCUUCUACGAAUAACGUAAAUACCCCUAAUAGAUGAAGAUGUUUGUACAACUUUUAUUACUUAUUAGUUACUUAUUACGUACAUUAGAAGAUCGCUAGCUAUAAGGCAAAAACUAUAUAAUUAAACACAUUAUUUUCUCUUUCCAUAAUGCGAGUAAACUCCACGGUGCAUUAACCUAUAACAAAUAUUAAACACAUCAGAAAAAUACGAUACAGCUUCAAUCAUCUGGCGUUAGAAAAACUGUUUAGUUUUAUGUAAUAUUAAUUUUUUUUUUAUCGUUUCUAAUAUCGUCGAGGCUGUAUUUCCAGAGGCGUACUUAAGCUGUUGGAAUGUGUGACCGACGGUUGCCCUAUGUCGAUUACACAGCAGUUCGAAAUGUUUGAUAGAAAGGAGAAGCAUUUACGAUCUCUAGAUAUUAAAUGUGAUAUCGAUAAAAUGAAAUAUAUAUAUUUGAAAGAACCCAAGUGUACCAAUCCCAACAUGUUUGUGUGUAAGAACAAGGCGUGCGUUCAUAAAAGUUUUAGAUGUGAUUCAGUUAACGACUGUGGCGACAACAGCGAUGAAUACGAUUGUUAUUUUUAUACUGUCCCAUGUUUUUCAUUGAAAGGCAAGAAACGCCAGUAACAAAUAAAUUUCAAAUGAGAACAAUAUGAAAAUCAAUUUUUAUUUAAUUGUAAUUAAUUAUCAGAGGCCCUUUGGUUGAUUAUCUAUGACAUUCAAACUUUGAUUAGCUAUUAAUGAUGGACACAUUUUUUUGCCGUUUACUUCGAAAAAAGUACUCAUUUGAGAUAAUUUAAAUUACUUCUUUUGACACAGCGCUUGCAGUUUUAAACUUUGCAUUUAACUUUUAAAAGUAAGAAAUAAAUACUUUAAUUUGCAAAGUCCCAUCUUAACAUUAAAAUUUCUGUGUGGAUUGCACCCAGCUGGCGCUGAUAGGGGACAACAGUCUUGGGUAUUUUAGCGUAGUUUAUGUAUCAAUUAACAUAAUUCAUUCUCUUAUAUAAAUCAUCAAUGCAGUUUUACACUACUUUAUAA